AUUGAACGCUGGCGGCAGGCCUAACACAUGCAAGUCGAGCGGUAGCACAGAGAGCUUGUUCUCGGGUGACGAGCGGCGGACGGGUGAGUAAUGUCUGGGAAACUGCCUGAUGGAGGGGGAUAACUACUGGAAACGGUAGCUAAUACCGCAUAACGUCGCAAGACCAAAGUGGGGGACCUUCGGGCCUCAUGCCAUCAGAUGUGCCCAGAUGGGAUUAGCUAGUAGGUGGGGUAACGGCUCACCUAGGCGACGAUCCCUAGCUGGUCUGAGAGGAUGACCAGCACGACUGGAACUGAGACACGGUGCAGACUCCUACGGGAGGCAGCAGUGGGGAAUAUUGCACAAUGGGCGCAAGCCUGAUGCAGCCAUGCCGCGUGUGUGAAGAGGGCCUUCGGGUUGUAAAGCACUUUCAGCGGGGAGGAAGGCGGUGAGGUUAAUAACCUCACCGAUUAACGUUACCCGCAGAAGAAGCACCGGCUAACUCCGUGCCAGCCGCCGCCGUAA
rnacentral:rRNA from 1 species